CUUAAAGUCGCAGAUCUGCCUGGAGACGUCGAAGAGGAGUCCCUGCGAGCACUUGAAUUCGAACACCUCAUUGUCUGAAACGUAACGAUGAGACGUGAACCUUUUGGAAUUCAUUCAACGUCGAACCGUUUACCUAGGCAGAGAAAAUAUUUGGCGCACUCCGCAGGUGACCAGACGCUGUGCGCCGAUGCCUUGGGAUUUCGAUAGAAUUUGUUGUCGUCUAUGCAAGGAACCUCCCCGGAUUUUCCUUUCUCCGCCGCGCUAUUCACUGCAAACGUGUCAUCCAAGUCAAAUUUUCAUCGCUUUCAAGUAUUUAGAUGGCAAAGUACAUAGCAUAUUUCUCUUAUACAGAAUUCAGAAAUACGUUCCUUUACUUUUAUUAAAAAAAAAAAAAAAAUUUCCAAAUUAUUAGAGAAAAAACCUUUUGA